UACGUGGGGAGCGAGCGUUGUCCGGAUUCAUUGGGCGUAAAGAGCUCGUAGGCGGCUUGGUAAGUCGGAUGUGAAACCUCCAGGCUCAACCUGGAGUCGCCAUCCGAUACUGCUAUGGCUAGAGUCCGGUAGGGGCCCACGGAAUUCCUGGUGUAGCGGUGAAAUGCGCAGAUAUCAGGAGGAACACCGGUGGCGAAGGCGGGUCUCUGGGCCGGAACUGACGCUGAGGAGCGAAAGCGUGGGGAGCGAACAGG
rnacentral:rRNA from 1 species